rnacentral:sRNA from 20 species
GGGCGGUUGAUUCGUCCCAAACCGGGUGCCGGAGGUGAGAUGGACCAAGAGAACCGGGGCUUUUGAAAGCCGCGGGAUGGCGAAGC